UACGUAGGGUGCAAGCAUUAAUCGGAUUUAUUGGGCGUAAAGGGCGCGUAGGCGGGGAAGUAAGUCAGAUGUGAAAUCCCGGGGCUCAACCUCGGAACUGCAUUUGAAACUACUUCUCUAGAGGGUAGGCGGAGAAAACGGAAUUCCACAAGUAGCGGUGAAAUGCGUAGAUAUGUGGAAGAACACCGGUGGCGAAGGCGGUUUUCUAGCUUAUACCUGACGCUAAUGCGCGAAAGCAAGGGGAGCAAACAGG
rnacentral:rRNA from 1 species